CAGUGAGCGGCUGUCAGGACCCACUGGUCCGAGAUGAGGGCCCCUCGGCAGGUCUCCUGGUUCUUGGGCUGCAGGGGAACAGAUGGUGUCCGUGAGCUGGGAGACAUCUGUGGGCGUGAGGAGCAGAUGGUGAAGGAGGCUGGCGAGGGGCGCUGCAAGCAGUCCACAUCCAGGUUGCCCACGCCGAUGGCAUAGAUGUCUGAUGGGGAGGAAAUCACCAGAAUCUUGUGGCUGAGGGGCUACCCCGUGACAGAAGACUGUAAUUUUGAACUCGCUGCGUCCUACAAAGCCCUACAUGAGCGGGAUCCCCCUCCCUCCCCCCACUACCUACCUCAUUUCCUACCACUCCUCCCCCUUCACUCUCUUCCAGCCACAUGGCCUCCUUGAUGUUCCUCAAAUGGACAGGCCCACUCCCACCUCAGGGCCUUUGCAUGAACUGUGUCUCUGCCUGGUUCACCCCUCCUCCCAGACUUCUACAUGCCUCACUUUCUUACCUUUUUAAGUUUUGACUCAAAUGUCACCAUCUCAGGGAGACCUUCCCUGGCCUCCUUGUGUAAAACUGCAAUGCCCCAGACACUUCGAAUCUUUCCCUGCUUCAUUUUAUACCUUAGCACGUGUCAUUAUCUACCGUGCCAUAUGGUUUCCUUUUUUAUUUUGUUUAAUGCCUAGUGUGGGUAGAAUUGUGUCUCUCCAAAAGAUAUGUUCAAGUCCUAACCCCCAGGACCUGUGAAUAUGCCCUUGUUUGGAUAUAGUGUCUUUGUGGAUAUAAUCAGUUAAAAUGAGGUCACGCUGGAUGGAGGCGGGGGUGGGGAGGGGCGAUAAUCUGAUGCCUUUAUAACAAUAGAGGAAUCUGGACACAAACACAGAGAGAGAGAAAACCAUGAGAAAACCAAAACCAGAGAAAACCAAAAACAACAGAGAGACACUCAGGAAAGAAGGUGAUGUGAAGACAGAGGCAAAGAUUGAGUGAUCCAGGACUUCCCUGGUGGUGCUGUGUUUAAGAAUCCGCCUGCCUAUGCAAGGGACACGGGUGCGAGCCCUGGUCUGGGAAGAUCCCACAUGCUGCGGAGCAACUAAGCCCGUGUGCCACAUCUACUGAGCCCGUGUGCCUAGAGCCCGUGCUCCACAACAAGAGAAGCCACCACAAGGAGAAGCCCGCGCACCGCAACAAAGAGUAGCCCCCGCUCACCGCAACUAGAGAAAGCCCGCGCGCAGCAAGGAAGACCCAAUGCGGCCAAAAAUAAAUAAAACAAAUAAAUUUAUUUUUAAAAAAAAGAUUGAGUGAUCCUACGACAAGCCAAAGAGUGCCUGGGGCCACCAGAAGCUGGACAUGCUGUAUUCUUAGAGUGAUGCCUGGCCCAGGAGAGGCUCUCAAGACUGCAACUGCCAGAGCCUUAGUUAUCUGCACUGCUAAGGGAAGAAAGGCCAGGAACGGUCCCUAUAAGGAAUCCAGGCCUUUUCUUCCUGGCGAGGUUUGUGGAACAUAAAAGACGGUGAAUGAAAACAACGACGAGGACGAUGGUGGUGGCCGCCACCGCACACUGUGUUUGUCUGUGCCAGGCAAUGUUUGAGCAUUUGCCCUUAUCGGCCAGUGAGACAAGAAGUCUGAUCUCUAGAGGAGCCAUGUAAUUUGGACAAAAUCAAGAGAGAAAUGGCAGAGCCCAGAUCCACUAGCCAGUCUGCCCUUCCAUCGGUGGACCUCGACAUCACUGGUCCAGAGCCACGCCUCCCCAUCCAGCUCCCUCUAUGUGACCUCCCAGGUGGGAGGCGCUCUUCUUGAAGAUUUCAAAAUCCUCUUCCUCCACACUCUGAGAUGCGUCCAGGAGCACGUAGAGGUUCAGACCCCGUCAGCACCAGAUUCGAGGCGCAGCGGUAGCUGACCUUGUCCCCAAGGCCGAAGCGAGACCCCGUCCGCACUGUGCCCGCGGCAGUGCCCGGGUUGGGGCAGUGGCUGGCUGUGAGGAACAAAGGAAGAUGGAGGGGACACGGGUUCAAGCCCUGGUCCGGGAAGAUACCACAGAGCAACUAAGCCCGUGCGUCACAACUACUGAGCCUGCGCUCUGGAGCCCAUGAGCCGCAACUACUGAAGCCCGUGUGCCUAUAACCUGUGCUCUGCCACAAGAGAAGCCACUGCAAUGAGAAGCCCGCGCACCACAAAGAAGAGUAGACCCUGCUUGCUGCAACUAGAGAAAAGCCCGCGUGCAGCAACUAAGACCCAAUGCAGCCAUAAAUAAAUAAAUAAAUUUAUUUUUAAAAAAAAAGAUUCCGCCCGCCAAUGCAGGGGACAUGUGUUCCACCCCUGGUCUGGGGAGAUCCCACAUGCCACAGAGCAACUAAGCCUGUGCACAACCACUGAGCCUGUGCUCUAGAGCCCGCGAGCUACAACUACUGAGCCCGCAUGCCACAACUACUGAAGCCCGUGCACCUAGAGCCCGUGCUCCGCAACAAGCUACCGCAGUGAGAAGCCCGCGCACCAAAACGAAGAGCAGCCCCCGCUCGCCGCAACUAGAGAAAGCCCGCGCGCAGCAACUAAGACCCAACUCAGUCAAAAAUAAAUAAAUAAAUUAAUUAAUUAAAAAAAAAUCAUCCCUGGCUUUGGUACCCCACGAUCUACAUCAGAGCCUGCCUCCGAUGCCUUGCUAUUGGGCAGUUGACAUUUUCCCACUAUUUUGAAAAGCCCUGU